rnacentral:rRNA from 1 species
UACGGGGGGUGCAAGCGUUGUCCGGAAUCAUUGGGCGUAAAGAGUUCGUAGGCGGCACGUAAAGUCUGGUGUUAAAGGCAGAGGCUCAACUUCUGUACGGCACUGGAUACUUGCGAGCUAGAAUGCGGUAGAGGUAAAGGGAAUUCCUGGUGUAGCGGUGAAAUGCUUAGAUAUCAGGAGGAACAUCGGUGGCGUAAGCGCUUUACUGGGCCGUAAUUGACGCUGAGGCACGAAAGCGUGGGUAUCGAACAGG